rnacentral:rRNA from 1 species
ACGCUCGACACCUACUGGAGGCAGCAGUGAGGAAUAUUGGUCAAUGGGCGCAGGCCUGAACCAGCCAAGUAGCGUGAAGGAUGACUGCCCUAUGGGUUGUAAACUUCUUUUAUAUGGGAAUAAAGUUUUCCACGUGUGGAAUUUUGUAUGUACCAUAUGAAUAAGGAUCGGCUAACUCCGCGCCAGCAGCCGCGGUAAUCUGAGCGGGCUGGCAAGGC